rnacentral:rRNA from 1 species
GUAGGGUCCAAGCGUUAAUCGGAAUUACUGGGCGUAAAGCGUGCGUAGGCGGUCUCGCAAGUCCGAUGUGAAAUCCCCGGGCUUAACCUGGGAACUGCGUUGGAAACUAUGAGACUAGAGUGCGGCAGAGGGGGGUGGAAUUCCAGGUGUAGCAGUGAAAUGCGUAGAGAUCUGGAGGAACACCGAUGGCGAAGGCAGCCCCCUGGGUCAGCACUGACGCUCAUACACGAAAGCGUGGGGAGCAAACAGGAUUAGAUACCCUGGUAGUCCACGCCCUAAACUAUGGCAACUAGUUGUUGGAGGAUGAACUCCUUUAGUAACGCAGCUAACGCGUGAAGUUGCCCGCCUGGGGAGUACGGUCGCAAGAUUA